rnacentral:lncRNA from 1 species
GUCCAGCUGAGGCCCUCUUGGACAACACUUCCUCUCCUGCCCAUGGUGGGAGGUUGGGAAGGACAUUCCCCCAUUUCCAUUUGCUCUGCCAUUCAAAACCUUGUGAGGGCCCUCAGGGAAGAAUCCCUUUGCAGGUCAUAAACUGACCUGCAGAAUUAUGGGAUCUUAACUGUGGGGAGAGACCUAGAAGACCGGCUAGUGACCAGAUUCUCAUCUAACUCCUUUUUUUUUGCAGAUGAGGAAACUGAGGCCCCACGUGGUGAAGACAAUUUUUACCCGAAUCCACCCACAACAAGAGACCAUUUGGAUAAUGUACAUUAUGGGAAGAGAACAGAGUCUCAGUGAAGAUCAUGUUUCCCCAGCAACACAGGUGCCAGGAGUAGCUGGCUCUGGUCCCAGCCCAGACUCAGAAAUCCUGAGCCACCAGACCAUUUCUAGAUUAACAAAGGCCUGCAUUAAUUUGAUUUCAGUGACCCACUGGAAACCAGUGUCAGCAUAACAACAGUUACGAGAGCUAAACCUACAAAAUAGAAACACAAGUAAAACUUGUUCAAGUGGUUUGCAGUCAUUGAACAUAGAUCAGCUCCUAUGAAAACAAACUCCAUGGAACACAGGAGCUAUGUGGAGAGUUGAUGGAGGGACAUUCCAGGCAGAGAGAACAGCAAACACAAAGGCCUUGAAGGGAGCGGUGGCUUACAUCUGCAAUCCCACCACUUUGGGAGGCUGAGGCAGGUGGAUUGCUUGAUCUCAGGAGUUCGAGACCAGCCUGGGCAAUGUGGUGAAACCCAGUCUCUACCAAAAAAUACAAAAAUUAGCCGGGCAUGGUGAGCAUGCCUCUGGUCCCAGCUACCCAGGAGGCUGAGGUGGGAGAAUCACUUGAGCCUAGAAGGUCAAGGCUGCAGUGAGCCGUGAUUGAGCCACUGCAUUCCAGCCUGGGUGAUAGGGCCACAAGUUGAAAAGGCAAAGGCAGGAUUGAACCGCAUUGCUCACCACAGAAUUUGGGUGAUGCCUGCUCGUUGAGUUGGAUCGCCUGGUUCCUGACUCAUUACCUGAAUUGGACCCCAUCUGCCUUCCAGCACUGGGCCCUCCUCACCUCCCAGGCAUCUCCUGGCCCCAUCGUUCUCAUCCACACUGCCAGUUGCUGCUUUCAUCUGCAUCCUCUUUCCUCAGCCUUCUGCUACCCACCCCUCGCCUCCCACCCCCCACCCCCACCAACUGACAAGUACUCUCGUUGUAGAAAGUGCCAGAGCACAAAGCAAUGACAUUUCCAGUAAAUCUCUCAGUUCAGGUGGAUUUCAAAUUUGUUUCUUUCUUGCGGGAGAGUGCCU